rnacentral:lncRNA from 1 species
ACCUCACUAGGAGCAACAUUGUUUUGAUAAUUUUUCAACUUUUACUUGAAAAAUUAUAUACAGCCAUCACCUUUUUCGCUUCAUUACUGUAUUUUGGUUAAAUUAUUACUUAGUUAUGCUGGAACAUGUGAAGGUGAACUCAGACUGACACAGGUGCACAGAUUGGUACACAGACACAAUGUGGAAUCCACACCUGACCCUUCUCAUUACAAGAUAAUUUGCUUACCAUUUGCUCAACCAAUUGGAGACUCAUCUAUGCUCAUGGCUUCCUACAUCAAAAGUCAUCUUUCUCUUUUGUCUAGACUCUUUCUAAGUCUAGGGGGGUUUGAAGGGUUGCCUCUUUGUUUGCAUGAGAUUUAACUGUGGAUAAUAACAUAGAUGUUCCUAACAACCAAUUGGCCAUAACAGGUUUCAUAGCAAGCCCUCUCUUGACAAUAUUUGCCUUUGCUAGGAAUUUUGCACCAAUAUCUGAAGUGUACAGUUGUAAACCGGUCAUAAAAUCUGUUCUCAACUUCAAGUCAUGCUUUAUAUCUGAACCAUUGAUGGGAAAUGCUAGGGCGAUGAUGCUCUUGGCAUACUGUAAUACCCAGGUGUACGUGUACCAUGGCC